GGAGGGUUGGCCGAGCGGUCGAAGGCGGCGGUCUUGAAAACCGCAGACGGGGAGACCCGUCCGGGGGUUCGAAUCCCUCACCCUCCGCCA
rnacentral:tRNA from 1 species